UACGUAGGGUGCAAGCGUUGUCCGGAAUUAUUGGGCGUAAAGAGCUCGUAGGCGGUCUGUCGCGUCGGCUGUGAAAACCCGGAGCUCAACUCCGGGCCUGCAGUCGAUACGGGCAAACUGGAGUGUUGCAGGGGAGACUGGAAUUCCUGGUGUAGCGGUGAAAUGCGCAGAUAUCGGGAGGAACACCAGUAGCGAAGGCGGCUCGCUGGGCCACACCUGACGCUGAGACGCGAAAGCUAGGGGAGCGAACAGG
rnacentral:rRNA from 1 species